GGGGGGUCGGUCUGGGGUGGUCUGCUAACAGCCUCAGGGCUGCAGGCCCUCUGCUCUUCAGACUGGAGCCUGGGCCGUCCUCACAUCGGGACCACGGGAUGAAGCAAGUCUUUCCACAUCAGGUGGGUCCUGACGUCACGUAGGGGGCGGGUCGUUGAGUCAGCUAGGUCCUGACGUCACCUAGAGGCGUGUCGUUGAUGUCAGGUGGGUUCUGACGUCAUGGGAGGACAGCGGAACAUAAACAUGAUACCGAACGGAGUCGGAACGGAGCCGUGAGAGGAGCCGUGACGCGCUGGUGCUCGUCCUCCGAGCUCUUGGUCCAACGGGUACACCGGUCUGGAGAGCAAGACGGGUUAGGCGGGAGGACGUUGUUGACCCCGGGACGUUCCCGACGGGAGGACUGUGUGGACCUCAUGCUCCUCGUCGUCUGUACAGCUGAAACUCCUCGCCCUGUCAGCCAAUCACGGCUCAAAGCUUGCGCAUGCUCACUGAGGGAACGGCGUGUUACUAAAUAAACACAAAUUAACACGAAAAAGCUUCAGUCUGAUCCGAACGACAGGUAUGGAGGGGCAAGCUGGGACUUCGAGACACGGAUACUGUGGCUACUGCAGGCUGGUCUACACUAGACUGGACCAGCAUGUCUCCAGCUCCCGUCACAUGGCCCGGGUGCGUCUGGCCUCCCGAUGCUCCACCCUCAGAGGCUCCGCCCCCAGAGGCUCCACCCUCAGCAGCCUGAUGGAGCGUUUCCUGGAGGACGUCCUGCUGCACCACCCGGAUCGCUACGCUGGCUCAAGGAAGUGCCACAGGAAGACUGAGCGCAGGAGAAAACCUUCCUCCUCCUCUUCCUCAUUCUACGCCGCACAGCCUGGCCCCUCCCCCCUACCGGGCCCCUCCCCCUACCGGGCCCCUCCCCCUCCUCUCCAAGGGGACUGGCUGUGGUUCCCCCGG
ensembl:lncRNA